AAAGGAAUAGACGGGGGCCCGCACAAGCGGUGGAUUAUGUGGUUUAAUUCGAUGAUACGCGAGGAACCUUACCAAGACUUAAAUGGGAAUUGACAGCUUUAGAAAUAGAGCUUUCUUCGGACAAUUUUCAAGGUGCUGCAUGGUUGUCGUCAGCUCGUGCCGUGAGGUGUUAGGUUAAGUCCUGCAACGAGCGCAACCCCUGUCACUAGUUGCCAUCAUUCAGUUGGGGACUCUAGUGAGACUGCCUACGCAAGUAGAGAGGAAGGUGGGGAUGACGUCAAAUCAUCACGGCCCUUACGUCUUGGGCCACACACGUAAUACAAUGGCCGGUACAGAGGGCAGCUACACAGCGAUGUGAUGCAAAUCUCGAAAGCCGGUCUCAGUUCGGAUUGGAGUCUGCAACUCGACUCUAUGAAGCUGGAAUCGCUAGUAAUCGCGCAUCAGCCAUGGCGCGGUGAAUACGUUCCCGGGCCUUGUACACACCGCCCGU
rnacentral:rRNA from 1 species